UACGAAGGGGGGCUAGCGUUGCUCGGAAUGACUGGGCGUAAAGGGCGCGUAGGCGGCGAUCAAGGUCAGAUGUGAAAUUCCUGGGCUUAACCUGGGGGCUGCAUUUGAUACGUGGUGGCUUGAGUGCGGAAGAGGGUCGUGGAAUUCCCAGUGUAGAGGUGAAAUUCGUAGAUAUUGGGAAGAACACCCGUGGCGAAGGCGGGUCUCUGGACAGUUCCUGACGCUGAGGCACGAAGGUCAGGGGAGCAAACGGGG
rnacentral:rRNA from 1 species